rnacentral:rRNA from 1 species
UACAGAGGGGGCAAGCGUUGUUCGGAAUUACUGGGCGUAAAGGGCGCGUAGGCGGCCUGCUAAGUCGAACGUGAAAUCCCCGGGCUCAACCCGGGAACUGCGUCCGAUACUGGCAGGCUUGAAUCCGGGAGAGGGAUGUGGAAUUCCAGGUGUAGCGGUGAAAUGCGUAGAUAUCUGGAGGAACACCGGUGGCGAAGGCGGCUCACUGGCCCGUAACUGACGCUGAGGCACGAAAGCGUGGGGAGCAAACAGGG